UACGUAGGGGGCAAGCGUUGUCCGGAUUUAUUGGGCGUAAAGCGCGUGUAGGCGGCUGGGUAGGUCCGCUGUGAAAACUCGAGGCUCAACCUCGAGACGUCGGCGGAAACCAUCCAGCUAGAGUCCGGAAGAGGAGAGUGGAAUUCCUGGUGUAGCGGUGAAAUGCGCAGAUAUCAGGAAGAACACCCGUGGCGAAGGCGGUUCUCUGGGACGGUACUGACGCUGAGACGCGAAAGCGUGGGGAGCGAACAGG
rnacentral:rRNA from 1 species